rnacentral:rRNA from 1 species
AGAGUUUGAUCAUGGCUCAGGAUGAACGCUAGCGACAGGCUUAACACAUGCAAGUCGAGGGGCAGCAUAAAAGUAGCAAUACUUGGUGGCGACCGGCGCACGGGUGAGUAACGCGUAUGCAACCUACCUAUCAGAGGGGAAUAACCCGGCGAAAGUCGGACUAAUACCGCAUAAAACAGGGGCACCGCAUGGUGAUAUUUGUUAAAGAAAUUCGCUGAUAGAUGGGCAUGCGUUCCAUUAGGUAGUUGGUGAGGUAACGGCUCACCAAGCCGACGAUGGAUAGGGGAACUGAGAGGUUGGUCCCCCACACUGGUACUGAGACACGGACCAGACUCCUACGGGAGGCAGCAGUGAGGAAUAUUGGUCAAUGGGCGGGAGCCUGAACCAGCCAAGUCGCGUGAAGGAAGAAGGAUCUAUGGUUCGUAAACUUCUUUUGCAGGGGAAUAAAGUGCAGGACGUGUCCUGUUUUGUAUGUACCCUGAGAAUAAGGAUCGGCUAACUCCGUGCCAGCCGCAGC